rnacentral:rRNA from 1 species
CGGUGGAGCAUGUGGUUUAUUUCGACGCAUCGCGAAGAACCUUACCUACUCUUGACAUCCAGAGAAGACUGCAUAGAUGCGGUUGUGCCUUCGGGAACUCUGACACAGGUGCUGCAUGGCUGUCGUCAGCUCGUGUUGUGAAAUGUUGGGUUAAGUCCCGCAACGAGCGCAACCCUUAUCCUUAGUUGCCAGCACGUAAUGGUGGGAACUCUAGGGAGACUGCCGGUGAUAAACCGGAGGAAGGUGGGGACGACGUCAAGUCAUCUUGGCCCUUACGAGUAGGGCUACACACGUGCUACAAUGGUAUGUACAGAGGGAGGCAAGCUGGCGACAGUGAGCGGAUCUCUUAAA